UGAACGCUAGCGGCAGGCCUAAUACAUGCAAGUCGAGGGGUAGAGGAAGCUUGCUUUCUUGAGACCGGCGCACGGGUGCGUAACGCGUAUGCAACCUACCUUUAUCAGGGGGAUAGCCCGGAGAAAUCCGGAUUAACACCGCAUAAAAUCACAGAACAGCAUUGUUUCAUGAUCAAAUAUUUAUAGGAUAAAGAUGGGCAUGCGUGCCAUUAGCUAGUUGGCGGGGUAACGGCCCACCAAGGCGACGAUGGCUAGGGGCUCUGAGAGGAGAAUCCCCCACACUGGUACUGAGACACGGACCAGACUCCUACGGGAGGCAGCAGUAAGGAAUAUUGGUCAAUGGGGGCAACCCUGAACCAGCCAUGCCGCGUGCAGGAAGACUGCCCUAUGGGUUGUAAACUGCUUUUGUACGGGAAUAACCACUGGUAUGUAUACCAGCCUGAAUGUACCGUAAGAAUAAGGAUCGGCUAACUCCGUGCCUGCAG
rnacentral:rRNA from 1 species